UCAAGGGCCCCCAGUCACUGCUCCAGAAUAGGAAAGAAGCUGUGGGUGCUGCACAGAUGAGCAGGAGCCGAUGACAUCCCAGAAGCAGGUGCGAGGCAGGUGUGGUCCACGCAACUUGGCUGGCCUGGAUUCUAGGCCUUAGGUGUUCAUCAGUUUGUCCGGCUGCCCAGAGCACAGGCGCAUUGCAUGGCCUUCCUCCUGCACCAGCCUGACUGCAGACAAGUCAGCCACCCCGUGUCCCCCUCAGGCUAAAUGCUGGGAUGGAUCUUGUUUGGAGACACUGCUGACCCUGUGUGUGGCACCUAGGACAUCAAAAGGCUGUGCCCUGGGUCUGCUUUAGGCAGCUCUGCCCUCCUUCCUAAGAUGCGUGCGGAGGUGGAGCACCACGAGGCUGGAGAAGGCACACUGUGGGCCAGGCGCAGCUUAGGGUUGGCCCUGGGUCUGACCCUGUCUCUAUCCAACUCCAAGUAUGGAGGGUUGAACCCAGGGCCUUCGCACGGAGCUAUAUCCUCAGCAUUUCUUGUGGAUAGGGUCUCACUAAGUUGCCCAGGCUGAGCUCAAACUUGUGAUCUUCCUGAAUCAGCAAUUACAGGUAUGUGCCACCACACCUGACCAGAACUACACCAGUGAACAUAAAGCCAAGUGCCACAGUGACCAGCCUGCUGUGUGUGCCUACACUUCCAAGUGUCCCCACCCUUCUCUCUUGCCCCUCACUGUUAUGCCUGCCCUGGUGCCCUGACUUCUCUCCCCUUCUGAGCAGCCUGCUCUGACCUCUUUCCUGAGCUAGUAUAGUGAGAAUCACCUGCCAACCACCCUCUGCCCCUAGCAGAUAAAAACCACCUGGAGAGCAAGGGACUCACCUGUUGUGUCCCUGUGGUUUCUCCAAGUACCUGGCCAGAGGUGCUUAAAAAAUGCUGCCUGCGAAUGUUGGCAUUUUCAGGAUCCAAACCAUGGGCCCUGGCUGGAGAGCUGAGGAUCUGAGACAGGGAUGGACACAGCAGUGCCCCUGGUCCAUCUCAGACUGCGAGCCUCCUGUCCAGUUGAAUGGCAAGGGGGUGGGACAUCCCCUCCCAUAGGCAGGACACCCUGCUGUGCUCUGGUAUGGACCCUGACUACCUUGGGUUCCUGCUGAGCUGGGACCAAAUGGGACCAAGUCACUCCUUUCCUUAUGGGGCUUGGCAUAGCACACUGGCCUGGCGACUCAUGUGCCUAUGGGGAAGCCACCUUCAUCCAGAGAGCCAUGAAAGGCACCAGGCAGGGGGCCUUGUUCUCAAGGCCCACAGGCCAGAGGAGAUACAAACUAUAACCAGCUGCCCCCAAAUUCCAGUGCUGUCCUUAGGUGUGGGAUUUCCAGGGAGGAUCUUAAGGACGGCAGCAGCAUGACCAAGGGCAGGAACCCAGUGGUUACUGGUUUCCUAUUGAUGCUGAGUACAAGCAACCACAAACGCAGUGCUUGCAACAGCAUGGCUGCCUCUCUUACAGCUGCAGAGGCCACAGGUCCACCAUACAUCUCACAGUGCUGAAACUGAGGGUGGUGACAGAAGGCCGUGCAGACCUGAGAUGGACUCUAGAGCUCAACGCACUGUCAGUGCCACGAGUCCCUCUUCCUAUGGGGUAACCAACAACAGCACUGAAGGCCCGGCUGCCUAGAUAUGGGGUCAGGCUCACCCAGGAGAUGGUGGAGUGGUAAGAGAGAGGCUACUGUCUGCUCAGCACCUCCCCUGGGGCCCAUUUCCACACAUCCCCACAGCCACACAUGCCAUGAGCACGGUGCAGGGCAAGGGUCUCUGUUCUUCACAAAGAAAUACUUGAUUCCCGUGAAAGCCUCAGUAUUUUCCCCUUGCAUAAACAUAUGUACAUGUAUCACACAAAUGGAGCCUACCUACCAUACAAGUUUAUAUUUUGUGUGUGUGUUUUUUUUUUUUUUGGUACCGGGGAUCGAACUCGGGACCUUGUACUUUCGAGGCAGGCGCCGGAACCACCGAGCUAAAUCCCUGGCCCUACAAGUUUAUAUUUUGGCUCUUAGUAAACUAGUUCCUAAAUACCCAAGCCCAGACAAGAAAACUCAGGUGGUCAGUGGCUUCCCUGUGUCCUAAGCAUUAGUCAGGAGGGCGGCUGGCCUCAGCUGCAGACCUUCUGGGCCUGAGUUCUAGGUCUACGAUCUUAAUUUCUCUGGAUAUCAACUUUUGCUCCCAUAAAAUGGGGACACCCUUCCCCUCCCAGGAUUCUGCAGAGGAUGGAGAGAAAGCAGUGACUGCCUGGCACCUAGCUGAGAUCUGCAGACCCUCACCCCAACAACAACUGCACGUCCCCAGCUCAUCCUUCUCCCAUGCACGUCCAAGAGACUGCAUCAUCCUUACUUUGAGAGUACAGCAGGAGCUGAUCCCUGCCUACCCCUCCUAGCCUGCUGCCACCACCCUCCCCACCCGGGCUCCACCCUGCAUCCUCCACAGGGGAACCUCGGUUCACUGAGCAGAGCCAGAGGCCUGGCCUGGUUGGCCCCCAUCUUCACCUUAGCUUCUUGCCCUCUCAGCCUCAGGGCCUUUCCACUUGCUGUUUCCUCUGCCUGGGUCGAUCCCUCAGCUCCCCAUACUGGGUCAGCUUAUCCUCAUGGCCUUCCGAGAGUUUUCUCCACCUGAUCAAUAUGCAUCCGCUAGUCUGCUUCAGGUCUGUCUCCCCACCAGAAUGUCCACGAGCAAAGAGAUCUUGUACGAAUUGUAUCUAAAAUGGUUCCCAGCAUGCAGCAGGCACACAGUAAGCACUGGACAGAUGGAUGGUUAGAUGGACAGACAGGGAUCUCCCCUGUCACCGCCUCUGCUCCAGUCCCCCAGUGACCUUGGGCCGUUCCCUGGGCCUGGGCUGAACCAGCUGUGCUCAUCUCAGCAACAUGGACAGAUCCCGGGAGAACCAAGCAGCCCAGCUUACCUUGCAGUGUUUAGACUAAUCUUAAUCCUUUUAUUUUCAUGUAUUUUGAAAGCAGUCCUAAUGGUUUAUAUAUAAAAUUUCCUUUAAUAAACGUACUUGCACAGGAGGGAGCUGGUUAAGUGUCUCUGUAAUUUUCUCAUCAUGUUUUCUUAGUUUUCUAGUCAAAACAAGUUUUAAUCGCAGCAGUUCUAUACGUAUUAGGGAAUAAAGAUUUUCCCUCUUGUUCUUGGUAAUUGUUAAUAAUUAUCAAUCGAUCAAUCUAGUAUUUAUAUUCCACUUGUAUUAGCUACCUGGGGAUGAACAAAGGAUGGACAAGGGCAAUUAUUCCAGUGCCGAGUACCGAGUACCCCAAGGUACCUGGGGCUCGGGCUGCCCUCAGGGCUCAGCCCCUUCUCAGAAGUAAUGCAAGGAGGUCUGGAGAAGGCCUCUGGGGGUGGCUGCAACUCUGGAAGCUGACCAGGCGCCUCAGCCAGCAGGCCAGGCGGGCUCCGUGGAAGACUCCGCCCCCUUGCGGUGCCGCUCAGCAUCUGAGCAGGGGACUGGACCCAGGACAGUGUGUGCCCCAUGGAGAGUGUACCACUGGGCAAAGGGUGCCUCUCAGUGACUAUCUGAAGGCCUCGCUGCAGCUCCUCCUGUACUCUGACCUCCUCUCCUAACUCCCGCUACCCCACCAACAGCCCUGCAGGCCUCAUGGACUCCGUAUCUAGGCGACUCCUGCUCACUCUGGGCCGAGGACCUCUGACAUCCUGAAGCACUGGCCUGCGACCCUUGUAGCACUGACAGGCCCGAAACCUUUUCCUGAGUAAGAGGUUUAUGGCUCACACACUCUGAUGGGGGCUCUGCUGACGACCUUCCCUGUACCUGGGCCUUUACAGUCUUACAGCCAUUAUGGCUGCCUAGCCAUGUGACCUCUCCAGGCCUUUCUGGGCCAAGUUAGUGAACAAGAGAUGGUGAUGAUACAUCUAAUGACCGGAUUGCUGGGCCACAUGCCCCCACUGGGGGCUGUCAAAGCAGGCUGUGCAUGGCUGUUUCACCAAGGAUUUCUUUCUGGAUAAACCCGGCUCAAUGCAGUAGCUAAGGGUUUGGGAUUUGGAAUCCUGGCUCUGCCAUUCACCAGCCAUGUGAAUGCAAAUCACUUCCCUUCUCUGGGCCCAGUUUUCCUGCCCCUGUGGAGAAGACAAGGAGGGGAAUAAAGCAGUGCUCUACGGGGCUGCUAGGAGAAAUCAGUGGUGCCACAUGAGCCUGUUGACCCCGGUCUGAUGAGCGUCCCUGAUCAAUGGAUCCCAUGGGACAAAUGAGUCCAUUGAUGGGCUGUCCGGGGAGAAUGUUCCUACACCACACAUUCCCCACAGGAAAAUUCCACCAAGGCCUCCAAUAAGGAGCAGCCGCUCCAGAAUCUGAGCACCCACAGAAGGGAAGGACUGAGUUCAGUUCCCUGAGAUGACAGAUCCCUCGGGUUUUACCGGCUGAGCAUGUGACCCUGCUCAGUCUCCCGGGUUUAGGCAGAGCUCCUAGACAUGACACCAAAAACAGCAGUAUUGAAAGGAUUGAUAAAUUUGAUUUCAUCAAAAGUUUUCUUAUACAAAAGGCACUGUUAAGAAAAUGAAAGACAGGCUAAAGACUUUUAGAAAACAUUUGCAAAUUACAUACCCGGCGAAAGACGUAACCAGCAGAUGUAAAGAACGCCUAAACUCAAUCAUAAAACAACACUGUAAUUUUUUAAAAUAGACAAGGCUUGAGCAGACAUGUCAGAAGAGGACAGAAGAAAAGGAAGCGUAGGCUGUCAGGGAAAUGCAAUGAGACCAAGAAGAGAAACCCCUGUGCUCCGUUUGAGUGGCCACAACAAAACAUCCUGACAAUACCAAAUGCUGAGAGGGUGCAGAACAGCUGGACUCUCAGUCAAGGCCUGUAGGAGGCCGUAGGGCAGGGACACUCGGGACACAUCUCGGCAGUGUUUCAUACGCACCAUACGACCCAGCCAUCUCACUCUUAAGUAUCCCAGAGAAGUGAAAACUUUUAAAAAUGUGUCUAUUAUCUCUAUGAAAAACGGGCAGUAACUGAAAAGCACACUGGUGUCUUCUGUGAAUGCACAAACUAUGGUAUAUCCACAUACAGACUACUCAGUCAGAAACAGGAACCAGCUACUGAUAUUCCUGACAGGAUGGAUGCCUAUCACAGGUACUGUGCUGAGGGAAAGACCUCAGCCCAAGGGGUUACUUACUGUGCUGACUCCACUUAUGAGGCACUCUCUAAGACGAGGCCAGAGGGAUGCAGAAAAGCAUGAAGGGUGGGCCGGGGUGGGAGUAUAAAGGGAAAGCUCACAGUGAUGACACCGGUCUGCAUCUAUCCUGAUUGUGAUAGUGGGCACCCCUAUCUAUACAUGUGUUCAAAUUCAGGGACCCAAGAAACAACAAAAAAGUCAAGUUUUCCAUAAACUUUAGAAACAUGUGUUUUUAAAGUGAUGGCAAACAGGCCUCUGGACACUGCCUGCAGGCUGGGCCUCUGAGCUCCACUGCUGAUUUGUGGACAAUGAGGCUGUGAUUACUGCUCUUCCCCGUCUCUCACUACUCAUGGAGGCAGCGUUGCCCUGGAGUCCACAGCUCCCUUCCUCCCCGCACCUAGGACAGGCCACUGAGCUGUGGAGUCCACAGAUGGUCAGUCUCUCUCUACACACACACGCACACACGCACGCACACACACACGCGCGCGCGCACACACACACACAGAGUCUUCUGUUGCAACGUGACUUUGCUGCCCCCUCCUACUCUGACCGGUUUGUGUCCUGUGAGUUCUCUGGGCAGUGGCAUCUUAAGCAAAGGGACACAGAACUUGGAACCCUUGUGACCGGGUUCUCCCUGUGCUCUGCUCUAUGUGCCCGGCUACGAAGGCUCCAUGAGGAGGAGAGACCUGAGGCCAGGCCAGCCACACUAUUCUCAGUUAAGGCCACCGUGGUGUGGUGUCUAGCUGGCCGACUCAGACGUGGAAGGGAACUGAGCCACACCAGCUGAGCCCCCAGCCCGUCACCUGAUGCGACAGCAGUUCUUACUGCAGGCCACCAAACAUCAUGGCUCUCUCGUACAGAUCAUCAACCCGGCAGCAGAUAACCGAUAGCCCAGCACUGUAAGUAACUGCUCUCAGUUCUCACUCCUAGGAAGAAGUUGUCACCAACCAGGGGCUUCAGUGGAACAAGAGGAUUCAGGCUGCAAAGGCCAGCUGACUUCUAUGUGUGGUCGCUGCAUCUCUCUGAUAUUACAUUUUAUUAAUGUUUUUUUAAACUAGCCCCAAAUGGGAUAGAGGUUAUUGUACCCAAAAUAACUUUAUCUGCUUCCCUUCUGCAAACUGAAUUUUCAGAUGCUCCAAUGUUUAAAAAUAAAAGACAUGAAAUAGGGCAAGCAAUUGUAAUAAUAUCUAAGCUGCCAACUCACAUCGUUUUGGGACUGAAGUGAGAGUUUGAACAAAAAAGAUGUGACUGCAGUCAAAAUAGCUUCCACUGGAGAGGCACCUAUGAGGUCUUUGCUCCUAGCCUCAUUUUACAGAUGGGGAUUCAGAGGCAGAUAGAAGUCAAGGGCAUAAGACUUGAAAGGAAUAGGACCUAGAAUUUGCCUGACUCGGACAUGCUCUUUCUAAUAUGGACCAAGCUGCUCUCUGAAUGCUAGAGGAAAUGAACAACAGUGCUUUGGCAUGUGUGUUACAAUGAAGUCUGAUCAUGUGCCACACUGCCUGGUUUACCAAGGGAAAAGGGAGGUCCUUUACUGGGGGGAUCUGCCAGUCUGCAGCCUGGUCUCUGGGCUCAGUGGGUGAGGGCUCAGCCUGCUACCACUAGGCUAGAAGAUCACAGCCUCCACUUCCAGAUGAACUUGACUCACACCCCAAAAGAAAGGGAGUGACCACGGCCUGGAGACACACACAAAAAUUCAUUUGGUCUCUUAAACGUCCACGGUGAACACGCUUGGCCUGUGUUCCUAAGUCUGCCCU